UCUUACCGAUGAGCAAAGAAAGUGGUUUCAUGAGAUGGAAUCAACUCCUAGUGAAGAUUCUAUGAA
rnacentral:pre_miRNA from 2 species